rnacentral:rRNA from 1 species
UACGUAGGGGGCAAGCGUUGUCCGGAUUUAUUGGGCGUAAAGAGCGUGUAGGCGGCCAGGUAGGUCAGCUGUGAAAACUCGAGGCUCAACCUCGAGAACGCCGGUUGAAACCAUCUGGCUAGAGUCCGGAAGAGGAGAGUGGAAUUCCUGGUGUAGCGGUGAAAUGCGCAGAUAUCAGGAAGAACACCCGUGGCUAAGGCGGCUCUCUAGUACGGUACUGACGCUGAGACGCGAAAGCGUGGGGAGCGAACAGG